rnacentral:rRNA from 1 species
UAGUCGGAGGUGUGUCUCGGACGGUCGGUUCGCCGCUUGUCGGUGCUCAACUGGCUUCUCCGGACGUCCUGCCGGUGGGGCUGUAAAAGGCUCCGUUAUCCUUCUUUGGUCCUCUUCAUUGAGUGCCUUGGUGGGCCGGCACGUUUACUUUGAACAAAUUAGAGUGCUCAAAGCAGGCCGUUGGUCGCCUGAAUACUGUGUGCAUGGAAUAAUGGAAUAGGACCUCGGUUCCAUUUUGUUGGUUUUCAGAACUCGAGGUAAUGAUUAAUAGGGACGGACGGGGGCAUUCGUAUUGCGACGUUAGAGGUGAAAUUCUUGGAUCGUCGCAAGACGAACCGAUGCGAAAGCAUUUGCCAAGAACGUUUUCGUUGAUCAAGAACGAAAGUUAGAGGUUCGAAGGCGAUCAGAUACCGCCCUAGUUCUAACCAUAAACGAUGCCAGCUAGCCAUCCGCCGAAGUUCCUUAUAUGACUCGGCGGGCAGCUUCCGGGAAACCAAAGCUCUUGGGUUCCGGGGGAAGUAU